rnacentral:rRNA from 1 species
GUGAGGAAUAUUGCGCAAUGGAGGCAACUCUGACGCAGCCAUGCCGCGUGCAGGAAGAAGGCGCUACGCGUUGUAAACUGCUUUUAACCGGGAAGAAACCCCAGGACGUGUCCUGGGUUGACGGUACCGGAGGAAUAAGCACCGGCUAACUUCGUGCCAGCAGCCGCGGUAAUACGAAGGGUGCAAGCGUUAUCCGGUUUCAUUGGGUUUAAAGGGUGCGUAGGCGGAGCGUUAAGUCAGUGGUGAAAUCCUGCAGCUUAACUGUAGACUUGCCAUUGAUACUGGCGCUCUUGAGUGCGCUUGAAGUGGGCGGAAUGUGCCGUGUAGCGGUGAAAUGCUUAGAUAUGGCACAGAACACCAAUUGCGAAGGCAGCUCACUAAGGCGAUACUGACGCUGAGGCACGAAAGCGUGGGGAUCGAACAGGAUUAGAAACCCGUGUAGUCC